AAACUUGGGGCGUGCUAUAAUGCAGUCGAACGCUUCUUUUUCCACCGGAGCUUGCUCCACCGGAAAAAGAGGAGUGGCGAACGGGUGAGUAACACGUGGGUAACCUGCCCAUCAGAAGGGGAUAACACUUGGAAACAGGUGCUAAUACCGUAUAACAAUCAAAACCGCAUGGUUUUGAUUUGAAAGGCGCUUUCGGGUGUCGCUGAUGGAUGGACCCGCGGUGCAUUAGCUAGUUGGUGAGGUAACGGCUCACCAAGGCCACGAUGCAUAGCCGACCUGAGAGGGUGAUCGGCCACAUUGGGACUGAGACACGGCCCAAACUCCUACGGGAGGCAGCAGUAGGGAAUCUUCGGCAAUGGACGAAAGUCUGACCGAGCAACGCCGCGUGAGUGAAGAAGGUUUUCGGAUCGUAAAACUCUGUUGUUAGAGAAGAACAAGGAUGAGAGUAACUGUUCAUCCCUUGACGGUAUCUAACCAGAAAGCCACGGCUAACUACGUGCCAGCAGCCGCGGUAAUACGUAGGUGGCAAGCGUUGUCCGGAUUUAUUGGGCGUAAAGCGAGCGCAGGCGGUUUCUUAAGUCUGAUGUGAAAGCCCCCGGCUCAACCGGGGAGGGUCAUUGGAAACUGGGAGACUUGAGUGCAGAAGAGGAGAGUGGAAUUCCAUGUGUAGCGGUGAAAUGCGUAGAUAUAUGGAGGAACACCAGUGGCGAAGGCGGCUCUCUGGUCUGUAACUGACGCUGAGGCUCGAAAGCGUGGGGAGCAAACAGGAUUAGAUACCCUGGUAGUCCACGCCGUAAACGAUGAGUGCUAAGUGUUGGAGGGUUUCCGCCCUUCAGUGCUGCAGCUAACGCAUUAAGCACUCCGCCUGGGGAGUACGACCGCAAGGUUGAAACUCAAAGGAAUUGACGGGGGCCCGCACAAGCGGUGGAGCAUGUGGUUUAAUUCGAAGCAACGCGAAGAACCUUACCAGGUCUUGACAUCCUUUGACCACUCUAGAGAUAGAGCUUCCCCUUCGGGGGCAAAGUGACAGGUGGUGCAUGGUUGUCGUCA
rnacentral:rRNA from 1 species